AGGUCCUUAUUUCCAUUUCUGGUGAGAAUGUACUGUUCUUUUCUCUUGCAGGGAGCCUGAAGAAUGUUCAGGGAGGCACCUUAUCCCGAAGUCUCUUCCGUGGAAAAUAAGGAACCGUGUUUUGACUCAAGGAGUGAAAGAAGCAAGUUUAUCUCCUUAGUUCAUUUGACAGAUGAAGAAAGAAGAAACUGA
rnacentral:lncRNA from 1 species